GGGGAGUGAAAAGGGAGGCCAGCAGAAGAGAGUGACUUACAUUUAAGUCUGAUUUUUUUUCUUCUGGCUAGGGGAAGGUUGGUCAUGAAGAUCAUUUUCUCAUCAAUAACUUUGGCAAGACUCUAAUAUAUAUUACUGAUAACUCCCAGAUCUGCUUGCACAAGCGGAAUAUUUAUGCAACAAGAUGUCAAGCAACGCUCUCCUGAAAAUUAGGAGAUCUUUGAUUACCCAGUGUAGUGUAAAGAGAAUAUUUAUGACCAUCGAAGGAAGGCCGGGUUCCUGGAGACGGGAUAACGCACGGCUUCCUGCUGCCAGACACAGAGUUCCUUUCCGUGGUCACACCAAUGUUUGUUCAUACUCCCACGGACACCACAACUUUUUUGGAUAAGGAAGAAGAUGAUGGAACACAGAUGAGGGAAAGAAAUGGCCUCAGAGAACUUGGAUACGUGGGGGUAUUUUUACCCUUUGGGGUUUUUUCUUCCUGAAUUUCAAUGAGUGACUUAUUGGAAACUUCUUUGGGUUUGAAGUGUUUUUUUUCUUCUUGUUCCACACACACGAAACUGUUUUGGGUUGUUUUGUUUGUCUUUGUUUAUAAUGCAGCUGAGAUAGGGUGACUUGAUAUUUUUAAAAUAGAAAACUGAUGCCUUCUGAGGGAAUAGGCGGAAGAGAGGAGGACUUCACUAGCUGGAAAAGUCCUGUGGGUCAUACCAAGGACAGCUUGCUACUGUGAAGGUUGUGCUGGAUAUAGCCGGGAGGAUUUGGUGAGAGCUGGUGUGGAGGCAACAGUGCUACUUCUCCUUGGGUGCCAAAUCCACUGCUGGUUCUCCAAAUGCCAGAUCCCAAGGAUCCCUGUGUGACCGCCACAUAUCUCUUUGAUUUAUUAACUGGUUUUCCCCUCUUUUGAUUUAUUAACUGGCUUUUUCCCCUCUUUCUUUUAAAGUAAAUUCUAGAUUGAACUUUUCCAACCAUGGCAUUAGAAACUAUCAGGCACUGAAUGCCAAGCAGGUGCCUUCAGUUUCCCUCACUGACAUCCUGCUAUUCUCAAUCAUUCAAUGAAAAUAAACCUAAAAUAAAAAAAUAUCUUGUCUUGUUG
rnacentral:lncRNA from 1 species